rnacentral:rRNA from 1 species
UGCGUAGGGGGCAAGCGUUGUCCGGAUUUAUUGGGCGUAAAGAGCGCGUAGGCGGCCAGGUAGGUCGGUUGUGAAAACUGGAGGCUCAACCUUCAGACGUCGACCGAAACCGCCUGGCUAGAGUCCGGAAGAGGAGAAUGGAAUUCCUGGUGUAGCGGUGAAAUGCGCAGAUAUCAGGAAGAACACCCGUGGCGAAAGCGGUUCUCUGGGACGGUACUGACGCUGAGACGCGAAAGCGUGGGGAGCGAACAGG